GUGGGGGAUAUUGCACAAUGGGGGAAACCCUGAUGCAGCGAUGCCGCGUGAAUGAUGACGGCCUUCGGGUUGUAAAGUUCUGUCGUCAGGGACGAUAAUGACGGUACCUGACAAGAAAGCUCCGGCUAACUACGUGCCAGCAGCCGCGGUAAUACGUAGGGAGCGAGCGUUGUCCGGAAUUACUGGGUGUAAAGGGAGCGUAGGCGGGAAUGCAAGUUGAAUGUUAAAUCUACCGGCUCAACCGGUUAGCUGCGUUCAAAACUGUAUUUCUUGAGUGAAGUAGAGGCAGGCGGAAUUCCUAGUGUAGCGGUGAAAUGCGUAGAUAUUAGGAGGAACACCAGUGGCGAAGGCGGCCUGCUGGGCUUUUACUGACGCUGAGGCUCGAAAGCGUGGGUAGCAAACAGGAUUAGAAACCCUAGUAGUCC
rnacentral:rRNA from 1 species